CAGCCUUUUCAUUCUUGACCCUCUAAGGGGUGUAAAUGAACUGAAAGCCGCCCAAGAUGCAUGCCAUAAGUUUGGAGCUUAUUUCCACACGAGAAGACAAAACUAUGGAAGGCAAGACUUGGUGCACAUAAAAUGGAAACCGAGCACAAUUGAGCAUUCAUUUCAGGAAGAUGAUUCCAGCUGUGGUGUCUUUAUAAUGCUGAUGGCCAAACAGGUGGUGGAACAGUUCCCAAAAAUCCCUGAAAACAUUGACAUCACACCCAGCAAGGAAAUGAUGUGCGAGUACAGAAAGAAUUUGGCUGAAGUAAUAUUGCUGGCAUCAGUGUCAACGGCGGAGUGCUGCUCUGUGUGCGGAAAACACAAUGACCAAAGUCAAGAUGAAUGCAUCUGGAUCCAAUGCAAAGUAUGCCAGAGAUGGUUUCAUCUUUACUGCCUCAGGAUGAUUCUGCCACCAGAAGAACAACCAUGGAUUUGUGAAUUGUGUUUGUAAGCUAUUCAAUCUCUAUUGACUAUUUGGUGUAAUAUGCGAAUAGUUACUCGUUUUGCUGCACUUACUGCAACAGAUUGAACGUUUGGAAUUAAAAGUUGAAACAAAGUUAAAAUGAUUAACUUACAUGCUGUCAUGUAUAUUGGAAACUUUAGAUAGAAGUUAUCUGUUAUGAUACUUGUUAUAGAUUUGACUAUUUUUGUUAGUCUAGAACCUUAAUGCUUUGCAUAGAAUCACUCGAGUUCACGCUAUUUUCAAAGCCUUAUUUGCAACUACAAAUCAAUAUGUAAUGUUUUUUUUUGGUCAUUUAUAGGCUGGUUUAGUGUUUGAAAUUUAAAAAAAAAAAAAAAAUGUCUGAGGUGCAGGGGAUGUUGUGUUGUUUGUUGAAAAUGUUUUGUGUACAUAUGGAUGGUUCGUUGGCCAAUAAAUUGUUCUUCUUUAAACACAAA
rnacentral:lncRNA from 1 species